rnacentral:rRNA from 1 species
GAUAAACGCUGGCGGCGUGCCUAAUACAUGCAAGUCGAGCGAACGGACGAGAAGCUUGCUUCUCUGAUGUUAGCGGCGGACGGGUGAGUAACACGUGGAUAACCUACCUAUAAGACUGGGAUAACUUCGGGAAACCGGAGCUAAUACCGGAUAAUAUUUUGAACCGCAUGGUUCAAAAGUGAAAGACGGUCUUGCUGUCACUUAUAGAUGGAUCCGCGCUGCAUUAGCUAGUUGGUAAGGUAACGGCUUACCAAGGCAACGAUGCAUAGCCGACCUGAGAGGGUGAUCGGCCACACUGGAACUGAGACACGGUCCAGACUCCUACGGGAGGCAGCAGUAGGGAAUCUUCCGCAAUGGGCGAAAGCCUGACGGAGCAACGCCGCGUGAGUGAUGAAGGUCUUCGGAUCGUAAAACUCUGUUAUUAGGGAAGAACAUAUGUGUAAGUAACUGUGCACAUCUUGACGGUACCUAAUCAGAAAGCCACGGCUAACUACGUGCCAGCAGCCGCGGUAGUACGUAGGUGGCAAGCGUUAUCCGGAAUUAUUGGGCGUAAAGCGCGCGUAGGCGGUUUUUUAAGUCUGAUGUGAAAGCCCACGGCUCAACCGUGGAGGGUCAUUGGAAACUGGAAAACUUGAGUGCAGAAGAGGAAAGUGGAAUUCCAUGUGUAGCGGUGAAAUGCGCAGAGAUAUGGAGGAACACCAGUGGCGAAGGCGACUUUCUGGUCUGUAACUGACGCUGAUGUGCGAAAGCGUGGGGAUCAAACAGGAUUAGAUACCCUGGUAGUCCACGCCGUAAACGAUGAGUGCUAAGUGUUAGGGGGUUUCCGCCCCUUAGUGCUGCAGCUAACGCAUUAAGCACUCCGCCUGGGGAGUACGACCGCAAGGUUGAAACUCAAAGGAAUUGACGGGGACCCGCACAAGCGGUGGAGCAUGUGGUUUAAUUCGAAGCAACGCGAAGAACCUUACCAAAUCUUGACAUCCUUUGACAACUCUAGAGAUAGAGCCUUCCCCUUCGGGGGACAAAGUGACAGGUGGUGCAUGGUUGUCGUCAGCUCGUGUCGUGAGAUGUUGGGUUAAGUCCCGCAACGAGCGCAACCCUUAAGCUUAGUUGCCAUCAUUAAGUUGGGCACUCUAAGUUGACUGCCGGUGACAAACCGGAGGAAGGUGGGGAUGACGUCAAAUCAUCAUGCCCCUUAUGAUUUGGGCUACACACGUGCUACAAUGGACAAUACAAAGGGCAGCGAAACCGCGAGGUCAAGCAAAUCCCAUAAAGUUGUUCUCAGUUCGGAUUGUAGUCUGCAACUCGACUACAUGAAGCUGGAAUCGCUAGUAAUCGUAGAUCAGCAUGCUACGGUGAAUACGUUCCCGGGUCU